ensembl:lncRNA
CCCCACCUCCCCUCCCCCGGCCCUUCGCUCAAGCUCAGCUCUGGUGGGCACUUAAAGGGACCUUUACACUCCGGCCAACUGCUUUGCAACUGACUCACAGGCGGCUCCUUCUCGUAUUGGGCGUCAAUCCCUUCUCAAUACNAAUCCCUUCUCAAAUCCCCCCCCCCCAGGCGGUCUGUGGGGGUGAUUUGGGGGAGGGGGGACCGGGAGAGAGGGAGUUUUAUUGUCUUUAUUUUGCCUCGCAGGUAGCAACAUUUUUAAGUCACUAACAUUUUCCUCUGGACUCCUCUGAUUGUCAGCCCCAUCUUCCAAAACCCAGCUGAGGACCGUGAAGACGAAGUUGCUUUGAACGGGGCAGUUUUCUGAGAUCUUUGCUCUUACAGUCUCUAGUCUUAAAUCAUAACAGAGAUCGAACCGGAGCGGGGCAGGGGGCCGGGGGGGGGAGAGUCAACGCGCCUGCAGGAUUUAAAAGAGACAAAAAUCCGAGCACCAGCAGGUUUAAGUUCCCGGGCUCUUCGCCUGUAGCCCGAGAAAAACAGCUGUUUGCUGGCUCCGAAAGCCACGGGGGCUGUUUGUACACAACUAUGAAAAAGGGGAAAUGCGGCUCGCCCUGGAGUGCGAAUCUAAUUUGAAAAUGUAGCAGGAGUGAAGCUCGCCCACUUAAAAACCCAGUUUCUUAUUUCUUUUGAAGAUAGACAGGAACAUGGGCAGGAUGUUUAUACGGCGAAAUGUAAACAUCGUCUCAGGGGUUCUUUAAUAAAAUGAAAUCAGAAAGAAAACUCCCUGGUAGUUCGCAUAGGGCCCCGUGCUGCGCCGUAUAAAAUAGCGCACGUCGCUUGAUUUGCUGCCGGGUUAGACUUUUGUUGUUGUUUGUUGUUGUUGUGAUAUAAAUGUGUGUUGAUUUUUUCAGCUAUGCCCAGACUUUGAUCCUCAGAAGUAAUGGAUCUCUCUCUCUCUCUCUCUCACACACACAUACACACCACAUGGGGGGCGAGGAGGAAAAGGAAGGCAAAGCCUUCCUCAGACCCCCACCCCCCAAAAGUCUGACCACCUUUUCAUCAGUAAAGCUGUCACUCACUAAUCAAGAGAUCUGUACAUCAGAGGGGAUGCGGCAGGCGGGGAGAGGGCCGGAGACCCUCCUUGCAUGGAUCACCUCUUCCUUCACUGGAUGGACGAUCAAACGUGCAGGCUGUGGUACCAGAAUAUGCCCAGCACAGUUUUUGGCCAGCCAUCCUGACCUACUCUGAGGAAUUUUCAUGCAUGAGGCUUUGAAUUUGCAAGCGUGCUGUGUAUAUAAUCUUUCUCUGAAGAUCUUCUACAGUAUAGUAAUAGAGAGAGACUGAUCGGAUGAUAUGCUGCCCAAAGAAUAUCCAAAAUGCACAACAUGUAGCUUCAGCCAAUGGUGGUUAUCGAACGGUAGCUGAACUACAUUUAUAGGUUUCCCUGUUUUCUCUGUGUAACUGUGGGGCACAUGUGUCAGUGUUCUUUACCAUUGCAUGACUCCAGUGGCUCUCCUGGUUUCAGUAGUUUAUACUGGGCUUGAGCUACUGGUAAGGAUUUCAAUAUCAGCACCCCAGCAGUGCACAUAUAGGGUGGACCGGUGAGGAUUCUGGAGUACUAACUAGGCCUCCUUUGAUUGCUGAGCAGACCAACCCAGGCUCUUUAAUGCAUUCUCAUCAACAAGGACAGAUCACAAAUAAUGGGUCGUCCCCUCACUAGUGGGAGUGGGAUGGUUGCCCCUUAAUCCACCACACUUCUGUUGGAAAAUCUGUACAACAAAAUGUCGUACAUUUCUCUUCCUAGCUCCUAGUGUAUAUUAAUUGUAUCAGGCUGAUAAUGAGAUGAGCCUCACUAACUGGAAUGCUAAGUUGCAACCAUUUUUCUUCUCAGAGAUCUGUGAGUAUGGAAGGCCAGGGUCAUGUAUAUGCACUGACAUCCUCCCUGUUCUCAGUUAUCUGGAAAAGCUGCUAGACUGAAUUUUUGCAAAACAAUAUGCAGGAGUGACAAAGCAACAAUUCAAUAUUUAUUUCUGCUAGGCUCCUAAUAGACCCCCUGUACGUACUCUGGCGUUUUGUCUUUAUUAUACUUUCUUUGUUAGUUUAAUCUUGUUGUAGUGAAUGCUUCACCACUUUUUCCUUUCAGUGAGUGUGGAAAUAAUAAUAAUAAUAAAUGAUCAAAUUCCAUG